rnacentral:tRNA from 2 species
GGGGCGGUAGCUCAGCUGGUUAGAGCACACGACUCAUAAUCGUCCGGUCACGGGUUCAAGUCCCGUCCGCCCUA